GUGCUCACUUUGGCGGCACAUAUACUAAAAUUGAAACGAUACAGAGAAGAUUAGCAUGGCCCCUGUGCAAGGGUGACACACAAAUUCAUGAAGUGUUCCAUAUUUUU